UCCAGACUCCUACGGGAGGCAGCAGUGAGGAAUAUUGGUCAAUGGGCGGGAGCCUGAACCAGCCAAGUCGCGUGAGGGACGACGGUCCUAUGGAUUGUAAACCUCUUUUGUCGGGGAACAAAGGCGCCCACGGGUGGGCGGAUGAGUGUACCCGAAGAAAAAGCAUCGGCUAACUCCGUGCCAGCAGCCGCGGUAAUACGGAGGAUGCGAGCGUUAUCCGGAUUUAUUGGGUUUAAAGGGAGCGUAGAUGGGUUGUUAAGUCAGUUGUGAAAGUUUGCGGCUCAACCGUAAAAUUGCAAUUGAUACUGGCAGCCUUGAGUACAGUUGAGGUAGGCGGAAUUCGUGGUGUAGCGGUGAAAUGCUUAGAUAUCACGCAGAACUCCGAUUGCGAAGGCAGCAUACCGGCGCGCAACUGACGCUCAUGCACGAAAGCGUGGGUAUCGAACAGGAUUAGAUACCCCUGUAUCU
rnacentral:rRNA from 1 species